rnacentral:rRNA from 1 species
ACUCUUGGCCAGCCUUCUGAAAGGAAGAUUAAUCCAGGAUGGGAUCAUGAGUUCACAUGUCCGCAUGAUUAAAGGUAUUUUCCGGUAGACGAUGGGGAUGCGUUCCAUUAGAUAGUAGGCGGGGUAACGGCCCACCUAGUCAACGAUGGAUAGGGGUUCUGAGAGGAAGGUCCCCCACAUUGGAACUGAGACACGGUCCAAACUCCUACGGGAGGCAGCAGUGAGGAAUAUUGGUCAAUGGGCGAUGGCCUGAACCAGCCAAGUAGCGUGAAGGAUGACUGCCCUAUGGGUUGUAAACUUCUUUUAUAAAGGAAUAAAGUCGGGUAUGCAUACCCGUUUGCAUGUACUUUAUGAAUAAGGAUCGGCUAACUCCGUGCCAGCAGCCGCGGUAAUACGGAGGAUCCGAGCGUUAUCCGGAUUUAUUGGGUUUAAAGGGAGCGUAGAUGGAUGUUUAAGUCAGUUGUGAAAGUUUGCGGCUCAACCGUAAAAUUGCAGUUGAUACUGGAUGUCUUGAGUGCAGUUGAGGCAGGCGGAAUUCGUGGUGUAGCGGUGAAAUGCUUAGAUAUCACGAAGAACUCCGAUUGCGAAGGCAGCCUGCUAAGCUGCAACUGACAUUGAGGCUCGAAAGUGUGGGUAUCAAACAGGAUUAGAUACCCUGGUAGUCCACACGGUAAACGA